rnacentral:lncRNA from 1 species
GCAAGUAUUCAAGUAAAAAUCCUCACCUACGGAUGAACGUAGGUAGACGAGGAGUCACGCCUAGCCUCAGUCGCAGAAAGGCGAGCAAAAGGAGGGGGCAAGUAUUCAAGUAACAAUCCUCACCCACGGAUGAACGUAGGUAGACGAGGAGUCGCACUUAGCCUCAGUCGCAGAAAGGCGAGCAAAAGGAGGGGGCAAGUAUUCAAACAACAACCCUCACCUACGGAUGAACGUAGGUAGACGAGGAAUAACACUUAGCCUCAGUCGCAAAAGGCGAGCAAAAGGAGGGGGCAAGUAUUCAGGCAAUAGUCCUCACCCACGGAUAAACGUGGGUAGACGAGGAAGCACACUCAACCCCUAUCGCAGAAAGGCGGACAAAAGGAGGGGGUC